rnacentral:rRNA from 1 species
CUAUAAUCGAGAGUUCGAUCCUGGCUCAGGAUGAACGCUGGCGGCGUGCCUAACACAUGCAAGUCGAACGAGACUGAGAUGACUGAGUCUUCGGACAAAGGAAUU